UACGUAGGGGGCAAGCGUUGUCCGGAAUCAUUGGGCGUAAAGAGCGUGUAGGCGGCUCGAUAAGUCUGCUGUGAAAGUCCAGGGCUCAACCCUGGAAGGCCGGUGGAAACUGUCGGGCUAGAGUCCGGAAGAGGCGAGUGGAAUUCCCGGUGUAGCGGUGAAAUGCGCAGAUAUCGGGAGGAACACCGGUGGCGAAGGCGACUUUCUGGCCUAUAACUGACGCUGAGGCGCGAAAGCGUGGGGAGCAAACAGG
rnacentral:rRNA from 1 species